rnacentral:rRNA from 1 species
GCACUCCCGGGGCGUCUCUAUCUCAUUGCGAGAGGAGGCGCACCUAGAGCGUACACGCUGAUACCCGAAAGAUGGUGAACUAUGCCUGGCCAGGACGAAGCCAGGGGAAACCCUGGUGGAGGUCCGCAGCGAUUCUGACGUGCAAAUCGAUCGUCGGAGCUGGGUUUAGGGGCGAAAGACCAAUCGAACCAUCUAGUAGCUGGUUCCCUCUGAAGUUUCCCUCAGGAUAGCUUGCGCUCGGUUAAACGAGUCUCAUCCGGUAGAGCGAAUGAUUAGAGGCCUUGGGGUCGAAACGACCUCAACCUAUUCUCAAACUCCAAAUAGAUGAGAACCCCGGCUUUCUUGAACUCUGUUUAUGAAGCCGGGGGCUCGGAUCAGAGUGCCAAGUGGGCCAAUUUUGGUAAGCAGAACGGCGCUGUGGGAUUAACCAAACGCGGAGUUAAGGCGCCUCAAUCGACGCUCAAUGUGAAACCAUGAAAAGGCGUUGGUUGCU